AGGAGGAGGUAUGUUAAUAGCAUAUCAUUUGACGUUAGCUGCAGAAGAAGCACCGGCUAACUCCGUGCCAGCAGCCGCGGUAAUACGGAGGGUGCGAGCGUUAAUCGGAAUUACUGGGCGUAAAGCGCAUGCAGGUGGUUUGUUAAGUCAGAUGUGAAAGCCCGGGGCUCAACCUCGGAAUUGCAUUUGAAACUGGCAAACUAGAGUACUGUAGAGGGGGUAGAAUUUCAGGUGUAGCGGUGAAAUGCGUAGAGAUCUGAAGGAAUACCGGUGGCGAAGGCGGCCCCCUGGACAGAUACUGACACUCAGAUGCGAAAGCGUGGGGAGCAAACAGGAUUAGAUACCCUGGUAG
rnacentral:rRNA from 1 species